CACGUAGGGUGCGAGCGUUGUCCGGAAUUAUUGGGCGUAAAGAGCUCGUAGGCGGUGUGUCGCGUCGGCCGUGAAAACCUGCAGCUUAACUGUGGGCUUGCGGUCGAUACGGGCAUCACUGGAGUUCGGCAGGGGAGACUGGAAUUCCUGGUGUAGCGGUGAAAUGCGCCGAUAUCAGGAGGAACACCCGGUGGCGAAGGCGGGUCUCUGGGCCGAUACUGACGCUGAGGAGCGAAAGCAUGGGUAGCGAACAGG
rnacentral:rRNA from 1 species